rnacentral:rRNA from 1 species
AGGACGAACGCUGGCGGCGUGCCUAACACAUGCAAGUCGAGCGGGGACAUGCGACGGAACCGGAAGUUUUCGGAUGGAAGGCGAAGAUGUAUGUUCUAGCGGCGGACGGGUGAGUAACGCGUGAGCAACCUGUCCUUCACAGGGGGAUAACACAGCGAAAGUUGUACUAAUACCGCAUAAGACCACACCGGGACAUCCCGGAGGGGUCAAAGGAGCAAUCCGGUGAAGGGUGGGCUCGCGUCCGAUUAGAUAGUUGGUGAGGUAACGGCCCACCAAGUCGACGAUCGGUAGCCGACCUGAGAGGGUGAUCGGCCACAUUGGGACUGAGACACGGCCCAAACUCCUACGGGGGGCAGCAGUGGGGAAUAUUGGGCAAAUGGGGGAAACCCUGACCCAGCAACGCCGCGUGAGGGAAGAAGGUUUUCGGAUCGUAAACCUCUGUCCUUGGUGAAGAGGAAGAGACGGUAGCCAAGGAGGAAGCCCCGGCUAACUACGUGCCAGCCGCGGC